rnacentral:misc_RNA from 1 species
AAAGUCGUAACAAGGUCUCCGUUGGUGAACCAGCGGAGGGAUCAUUACAGAGUUGCAAAACUCCCAACCCUCUGUGAACGUACCUAUUAGUUGCUUCGGCGGAAGGCCCUUCAGGGGGCGGCCCGCCGAAGGCCUACAAACACCUGUAUUUUUGGCAUCUCUGAGUUAUCUAUAAAUAAGUUAAAACUUUCAACAACGGAUCUCUUGGUUCUG